rnacentral:rRNA from 1 species
AUGAACGCUAGCUACAGGCUUAACACAUGCAAGUCGAGGGGCAGCAUGAACUUAGCUUGCUAAGUUUGAUGGCGACCGGCGCACGGGUGAGUAACACGUAUCCAACCUGCCGAUGACUCGGGGAUAGCCUUUCGAAAGAAAGAUUAAUACCCGAUGGCAUAGUUCUUCCGCAUGGUGGAACUAUUAAAGGAUUUCGGUCAUCGAUGGGGAUGCGUUCCAUUAGGUUGUUGGCGGGGUAACGGCCCACCAAGCCUUCGAUGGAUAGGGGUUCUGAGAGGAAGGUCCCCCACAUUGGAACUGAGACACGGUCCAAACUCCUACGGGAGGCAGCAGUGAGGAAUAUUGGUCAAUGGACGAGAGUCUGAACCAGCCAAGUAGCGUGAAGGAUGACUGCCCUAUGGGUUGUAAACUUCUUUUAUACGGGAAUAAAGUGAGGCACGUGUGCCUUUUUGUAUGUACCGUAUGAAUAAGGAUCGGCUAACUCCGUGCCAGCAGCCGCGGUAAUACGGAGGAUCCGAGCGUUAUCCGGAUUUAUUGGGUUUAAAGGGAGCGUAGGCGGACGCUUAAGUCAGUUGUGAAAGUUUGCGGCUCAACCGUAAAAUUGCAGUUGAUACUGGGUGUCUUGAGUACAGUAGAGGCAGGCGGAAUUCGUGGUGUAGCGGUGAGAUGCUUAGAUAUCACGAAGAACUCCGAUUGCGAAGGCAGCCUGCUGGACUGUAACUGACGCUGAUGCUCGAAAGUGUGGGUAUCAAACAGGAUUAGAUACCCUGGUAGUCCACACAGUAAACGAUGAAUACUCGCUGUUUGCGAUAUACAGUAAGCGGCCAAGCGAAAGCGUUAAGUAUUCCACCUGGGGAGUACGCCGGCAACGGUGAAACUCAAAGGAAUUGACGGGGGCCCGCACAAGCAGUGGAGUAUGUGGUUUAAUUCGACGCAACGCGAAGAACCUUACCAGGGCUUGACAUAUAAAGUAAUAUUUAAGAGAUUAAAUAGCUCUUCGGAGACUUUAUACAGGUGGUGCAUGGUUGUCGUCAGCUCGUGUCGUGAGAUGUUGGGUUAAGUCCCGCAACGAGCGCAACCCCUAUCUUUAGUAGCCAGCGGUCAGGCCGGGCACUCUAGAGAGACUGCCAGGGAUAACCUGGAGGAAGGUGGGGAUGACGUCAAAUCAGCACGGCCCUUACGUCCGGGGCUACACACGUGUUACAAUGGGGGGUACAGAAGGCAGCUACACGGCGACGUGAUGCUAAUCCCGAAAGCCUCUCUCAGUUCGGAUUGGAGUCUGCAACCCGACUCCAUGAAGCUGGAUUCGCUAGUAAUCGCGCAUCAGCCACGGCGCGGUGAAUACGUUCCCGGGCCUUGUACACACCGCCCGUCACACCAUGAGAGUUGGGGAUACCCGAAGCCUGUGAGCCAACAGUUAAAUGAGGCAGCAGUCGAAGGUAGAAUCAAUGAUUGGGGUG